GUGUCAGCAGCCGCGGUAAUACAGAGGUCCCAAGCGUUGUUCGGAUUCACUGGGCGUAAAGGGUGCGUAGGCGGUUGGGUAAGUCUGUCGUGAAAUCUCCGAGCCUAACUCGGAAACUGCGUCGGAUACUAUUCAACUCGAGGAAUGGAGGGGAGACUGGAAUUCUCGGUGUAGCAGUGAAAUGCGUAGAUAUCGAGAGGAACACCAGUGGCGAAGGCGAGUCUCUGGACAUUUCCUGACGCUGAGGCACGAAAGCCAGGGGAGCAAACGGGAUUAGAAACCCGCGUAGUCC
rnacentral:rRNA from 1 species